CUGGCAUCUUGGUACAUUCUUCUCAUGUAUUGGAUGAUUUGCAGGUACAGCUCCCGGACUUUUGAGUCAGAUAACUGGGCAUUCUUCAGCAGAGGAGCAGGCCUAUCCCCUUUACCAAUAAAGCCCAUGAGAAGCACAUGACUUCUUAGCAUAAUUGGCUCUGGGCAAGGUAUCUGUGCUGUAUUCAACCUUAUUAAGUUCCUCAUUUCUUUUUCAGCCCACGUCUUCACCAUUUUUCUUGGGUUGCCUUUACAAUAUCCGUGACGAAAUCUGAAUUCACCGCUCACAUACUUAUCCCGAUCCUUGAACAUCAAAAUAGAGGUUUUGUAAAUCUUUAUUGCUCUACUGUCUCCAUUUGCAGUACUGGCAUGGUACACAUUAGCUUCCUUCCCCGUGCUGAUGCAGCCAUUGAUUUCCGAUAUGACGCCUCUACUCAGCAUCUUGAACAGAAUCAUUCGGGUCCUUGGGUCCAACACUUGUUCUACUGUUGCUCUGUCUGACUUAUCUUUGACUCGGCACAUGUCUGCUUCCUUCUGUCUAGACUUUUCUGUGACUCGGUUGAUAACAGAGUCAUCAAAAUUCAGCUUAUCUAAAUUAAUUUUAUGUUCAAAUUUCCUCAAAGCCUUGUCUGUAGGGGUAGACAUUUUUGCUGAAUAGCAACUAGGGGUCUGUCUAUUUGCCUGUGGAUUGCAUCCAGCAGCAGUAGUGUGGCACUUCAUGAGUCUUCCCAUCUCAUCAUCCCAGUCCCAGUCAUCAUCAUCAUCAUCUUCCUCUUCAUCAGCAUUGUCAUCAUCGCUAUCUCCUUCCUUCGUGUUGAUUCCUCUGCACAAGCUUGACUGGCAAUUCCCAGCAAACUCAUCUUCCUGAAUUGUUUCUGCAUCUUCUGUAAGGUCACUGUCGGAGCACUCCGCGUCAUCGAACUGCCCGGGCACGGCCUGCCUCAUCACCUCGGCGCGGUAAUCCAUGGCGGCGGCCGCCCG
rnacentral:lncRNA from 1 species